CAAGACUUUAUAUAAGAGAUAACACUUCUAGUGGAAGAUCCCGCUUGAACACUUCAACAGCAACCAUGAUAGCCCUCCUCCUUCUACUCGGAACUGCGUCGGUAUAUGGGGAAGAUGAGGACAUGAAUGAGAUAAGUGAAGAAACCGGCCUCCCCCUCUGAGCCACGAGGAACUGAAGCACAUGGUGAUGAGGCGCAUCAAUAGGUCAACCGGAAAAGCGCAGUCAAUCAACCCCAAUCCAGUCAAGGACGCCAAUACCCAGAGGUCCCCUCGGAUACCAAAGUUCGAGGUCAUUCAGCCAAAAUAACUUGCUUGCAUGACAGACCAUUAGUGUGAAUACAUGUGUAUUAUAUAUAUAAAACUUUAAAUUCAACUAUUUGAUUUGAUAACCGUUAUAAG
rnacentral:lncRNA from 1 species